rnacentral:rRNA from 1 species
AUACGGAGGGGGUUAGCGUUGUUCGGAAUUACGGGGCGUAAAGCGCACGUAGGCGGAUUGGAAAGUUGGGGGUGAAAUCCCAGGGCUCAACCCUGGAACUGCCUCCAAAACUAACAGUCUAGAGUUCGAGAGAGGUGAGUGGAAUUCCAAGUGUAGAGGUGAAAUUCGUAGAUAUUUGGAGGAACACCAGUGGCGAAGGCGGCUCACUGGCUCGAUACUGACGCUGAGGUGCGAAAGCGUGGGGAGCAAACAGGAUUAGAAACCCUUGUAGUCC